GAUGAACGCUGGCGGCGUGCCUAAUACAUGCAAGUCGAGCGAACAGACGAGGAGCUUGCUCCUCUGACGUUAGCGGCGGACGGGUGAGUAACACGUGGAUAACCUACCUAUAACACUGGGAUAACUUCGGGAAACCGGAGCUAAUACCGGAUAAUAUAUUGAACCGCAUGGUUCAAUAGUGAAAGACGGUUUUGCUGUCACUUAUAGCUGGAUCCGCGUCGCAUUAGCUAGUUGGUAAGGUAACGGCUUACCAAGGCAACGAUGCGUAGCCGACCUGAGAGGGUGAUCGGCCACACUGGAACUGAGACACGGUCCAGACUCCUACGGGAGGCAGCAGUAGGGAAUCUUCCGCAAUGGGCGAAAGCUUGACGCAGCAACGCCGCGUGAGUGAUGAAGGUCUUCGGAUCGUAAAACUCUGUUAUUAGGGAAGAACAAAUGUGUAAGUAACUAUGGACGUCUUGACGGUACCUAAUCAAAAAGCCACGGCUAACUACGUG
rnacentral:rRNA from 1 species